GACGGAGGAUGCAAGUGUUAUCCGGAAUCACUGGGCGUAAAGCGUCUGUAGGUGGUUCGAAAAGUCCACUGUUAAAAAUUGAGGCUUAACUUCAAAGAUGCCGUGGAAACUUUCAAACUAGAGUAUGGUAGGGGUAGAGGGGAAUUUCCAGUGGAGCGGUGAAAUGCGUAGAUAUCAGGAGGAACACCGGUGGCGAAGGCGGGUCUCUGGGCCGAUACUGACGCUGAGGAGCGAAAGCGUGGGGAGCGAACAGG
rnacentral:rRNA from 1 species